AUUGAACGCUGGCGGCAUGCCAUACACAUGCAAGUCGAACGGCAGCGGGGGAGAAGCUUGCUUUUCCUGCCGGCGAGUGGCGAACGGGUGAGUAAUACAUCGGAACGUGCCCUGUAGUGGGGGAUAACUAGUCGAAAGAUUAGCUAAUACCGCAUACGACCUGAGGGUGAAAGUGGGGGACCGCAAGGCCUCAUGCUAUAGGAGCGGCCGAUGUCUGAUUAGCUAGUUGGUGGGGUAAAGGCCUACCAAGGCGACGAUCAGUAGCUGAUCUGAGAGGACGAUCAGCCACACUGGGACCGAGACACGGCCCAGACUCCUACGGGAGGCAGCAGUGGGGAAUUUUGGACAAUGGGCGAAAGCCUGAUCCAACAAUGCCGCGUGUGUGAAGAAGGCCUUCGGGUUGUAAAGCACUUUUGUCCGGAAAGAAAUGGCUCUGGUUAAUACCUGGGGUCGAUGACGGUACCGGAAGAAUAAGGACCGGCUAACUACGUGCCAGCCGCCGCCGUAA
rnacentral:rRNA from 1 species